rfam:TPA: Bos taurus chromosome 22, whole genome shotgun sequence.
UCCCUGGUGGGCCAGUGGCUAAGACUCUGCACCUCCAACGCAGGGGGUCUGGGUUCGAUCCCUGGUCAGGGAA